rnacentral:rRNA from 1 species
UGGGGAAUAUUGGACAAUGGGCGAAAGCCUGAUCCAGCCAUGCCGCGUGUGUGAAGAAGGUCUUCGGAUUGUAAAGCACUUUAAGUUGGGAGGAAGGGCAGUAAGCGAAUACCUUGCUGUUUUGACGUUACCGACAGAAUAAGCACCGGCUAACUCUGUGCCAGCAGCCGCGGUAAUACAGAGGGUGCAAGCGUUAAUCGGAAUUACUGGGCGUAAAGCGCGCGUAGGUGGUUCGUUAAGUUGAAUGUGAAAGCCCCGGGCUCAACCUGGGAACUGCAUCCAAAACUGGCAUGCUAGAGUAGGGCAGAGGGUGGUGGAAUUUCCUGUGUAGCGGUGAAAUGCGUAGAUAUAGGAAGGAACACCAGUGGCGAAGGCGACCACCUGGGCUCAUACUGACACUGAGGUGCGAAAGCGUGGGUAGCAAACAGG